rnacentral:rRNA from 1 species
UACGUAGGUGGCAAGCGUUGUCCGGAUUUACUGGGCGUAAAGAGCGCGCAGGCGGUCGUACAAGUCGCGUGUGAAAGCCCCCGGCUCAACUGGGGAGGGUCACGCGAUACUGUUCGACUCGAAGGCAGGAGAGGGAAGCAGAAUUCCCGGUGUAGUGGUGAAAUGCGUAGAUAUCGGGAGGAAUACCAGUGGCGAAGGCGGCUUCUUGGCCUGUUCUUGACGCUGAGGCGCGAAAGCUAGGGUAGCAAACGGG